UUUUACGGAGAGUUUGAUCCUGGCUCAGGACGAACGCUGGCGGCGUGCUUAACACAUGCAAGUCGAACGAUGAUGCCCAGCUUGCUGGGCGGAUUAGUGGCGAACGGGUGAG
rnacentral:rRNA from 2 species